GACGAGCCACCCAAACGUUAUUCGGAAUUACUGGGCUUAAAGGGUGCGUAGGCGGUGCAGCAAGUCGGGAGUGAAAAUACCUCAGCUUAACUGAGGAACUGCUUUCGAUACUGCUGUGCUUGAGUAAGACAGAGGUAAGCGGAACUUAGGGUGAAGCGGUGAAAUGCGUUGAUAUCCUAAGGAACACCGGUGGCGAAGGCGGCUUACUGGGUCUUAACUGACGCUGAGGCACGAAAGCCAGGGUAGCAAACGGG
rnacentral:rRNA from 1 species